UGAAACUUGAAAGCGUCUAGGUUUUUGCUGGGCCGAAACUGGUGUCGAUCGACACCAAGAGUGUGUCGAUCGACACUCCUCGCUGAUUCCUGAACCAAAAUCGUCCUUAGCUUCCUUUUCCUUAGCUUUUGCUCCAAAAUGUCUCCUUAUCUCCAUUGUUGUCCCGCUGCAUAGAAUACCUGAAAAGACAUUAAAAAGACUCGAGAAAUAACAUAAAGACUCAAAAUUCUAUACCUAAAACAUAGAUAAAAAUCAGUGAAAAUCGGGUUAUAUCAACUAGCAUAAACCCAAAUUCAGAACUCUUACUUAUGUUCCCAAACCUUGGAAGAGU
rnacentral:sRNA from 1 species